UAUCUUUUUUUAUUCAUAAUCCGCGCCUAUAUUGGGUCUGUCGGCUACGGCCGGCUAUGGCGAUAAACGGUCAUCGCAAUAAGCCCAUCGGACCCGGGGGCGGUACCCGGCGCCUCCACCACAUGGGCCCUGAGAAACGCAGGCCGCGACCGGCGGUCAGGGGCCAUCUGAUGGGGGCGAAAUAGGAUCGACGAGGGUCUAAAGGAUGCGCUUUCGCCCGGCAUGGUUCCGCCGUUAUCGGGCCGAAACUAUAGUUGCCAACGACAACUAUGCUCCGGUUGCUCUGGCUGCUUAAUGCAGCUCUAGCACCGAAAUCGAAGUCCUAGCCGUUAGCACGGUCUAGGCGGGGUUCGGAGGGCACCUGGCAACAGAAGCCCUCCACU
rnacentral:tmRNA from 1 species